GUCAGCACCUGGGGUGAGGAAAGAGCCCCCCAGUCCUCUGCCCUGCUGUGUCCCAAAGCCUGGGCCAAACUAUCCUUCCUCAGCUUCUGCCCGCUCCUCUCCAUCGCAGGUAUAGCCUUCACAAUAGUGGGGCCUACUCUAGAAGGAGCUCAGUGCGCCUGGCAGCUGUGACACGGACUGUCCUCCCCUUUCUGCUACGUGGGCACAAGGCCCAUUGGGGGACCCAAUGCAGGUUGCUGGUAUUUUCCCUUCUCUCCUCUGUCUCCCAUCACCAAACCCUCAGUCCCCACAGGAUCAUUCUGACUCUGUCGUGCAAUGCUCCUUGUUCACCUUGGCCCAGGGAAAACUGGCUGUGUGAAAACCAAGACCUGGAAGAUCACUGGAACAGUAGGGCUCAGCAGCUGGGUCGCUUGCUCCAUCCCAGCCUCCUUGAAGACUUUAGGUCCCUCAAACCUCCAAGAGAAGCUUGUGGCACAGGGAGGGAAGAGAAAGGAAGAACUGAAUUGCCGGAGGUGCCUAAUGAGACUGAAAAGUUCAGGAACACAGAAUCUAGUACAGGUGCCCAGCACAGCAUGGGGGCCCAGGAAGACAGGGUCUGGAGGAGGGGAGGAAACCUCUUUAAGGCUGCUGUUUCCUGUUCCCUUGUACCCUCCCUGACCCACCUGGGUCACCUCAUCACAGCCUGAAACACAGCCCGACUCCCCACCCUUGGAAGGUGUCAUUCCCAGGCCUGGACAGGUGGAUCCAGGUCCCUCGGGGGCCAUUCCUCCCACAUGCUCAUUGGCCCUGCUGUCCCCGAGUGGAAGGGACUUUAUCCACAAGCAGGUAAAGAAU
rnacentral:lncRNA from 1 species